rnacentral:pre_miRNA from 1 species
AGUUAAAUAACUGGGUCAAAUGGUGGUUCCAUUCCAAGUUUCUGAUGAAUCUCCAUACUGCUUUCCUAAGUGGUUGCACCAAUUUGCAGUCCCACCAGUAAU